CCUACGGGUGGCAGCAGUGAGGAAUAUUGGUCAAUGGGAGGAAUCCUGAACCAGCCAUGCCGCGUGCAGGACGACGGCUCUACGAGUUGUAAACUGCUUUUGUACCGGGGUAAAAUGCUCUACGAGUAGGGUUUUGAAAGUACGGUACGAAUAAGGAUCGGCUAACUCCGUGCCAGCAGCCGCGGUAAUACGGAGGAUCCGAGCGUUAUCCGGAUUUAUUGGGUUUAAAGGGUGCGUAGGUUGUUUUAUAAGUUAGCGGUGAAAUACCGAUGCUCAACAUCGGGGCUGCCGCUGAUACUGUAGGACUAGAGAUCGGAUGCAGCAGGCGGAAUGUGUAGUGUAGCGGUGAAAUGCAUAGAUAUUACACAGAACACCGAUUGCGAAGGCAGCUUGCUAGGCCGGAUCUGACACUGAUGCACGAAGGCGUGGGGAUCGAACAGGAUUAGAUACCCCUGUAGUC
rnacentral:rRNA from 1 species